GUACAAAGGAAUGAUUGUGUCCAGGAAUCUUGAGGUUGCAAGACACAUAAUAGCCACUAAUUUAAGUGUUCAUGGGCCUUUACACAGUGGUAGAGAGACAAUAUAUAGCAAUGGAUCCUUCAUGUUCUACAAUGUCACGUGGAAGGAUACUGGAUUAUAUACCCUAUGAACUCUAAGUACAGAUAUGAAAACAGAAUUAGCACAUGUACAACUCCAGGUGGACACCCCCCUUUCUACAUGCUGUAACCCCCUCACCUUUUCUCAACUCAUGAUUGAACCAGUGUCACAGUAUGCUGUUGAAGGAGAAAGUGUUCUUCUCGUUGUUCAUAAUCUGCCAAAAGGUCUGCACGCCUUUUCCUGGUACAAAUCAGUGUAUGGGGCUGAGAUAUUGAAAAUCACAGAAUACAGCAGAGCCAUGAAUUCCACCACAUGGGGAAGUGAACUCAGCAGAAGAAAGAUUGUGUACACUAACGGAUCCCUGCUGCUUCAGAAUGCCACUGAGAAAGAUGCAGGAAUGUACACACUUGAAACUUUAAGCAGAGAUUUCAAAAUUGAAAAAGCACAGGUGCAAUUAUAUGUAAACAGUAAGUGACUCCCUAUGCUCUUUGGCUACUGGGUAUGACU
rnacentral:lncRNA from 1 species